rnacentral:misc_RNA from 1 species
AACGCACAUUGCGCCCUCUGGUAUUCCGGAGGGCAUGCCUGUUUGAGUGUCAUUAAUCUCUCACAAAACCUUCUGGUUUCUGUUGAUGUUGGGAGUUGCGUUUCCUUGUGAGACGCUCUCCUCAAAUGCAUUGGUGCGGCCUGCCGCCCGGUUACACAACGUUCUAGGUUCGUCCAACUCGUUGCUAAAUCGGUGCACCAUUUGGUGCUGCACCUAAAGCCCGCCUUGUGCCUUGUGCUCUUGGCUUAUCUUAUUUAUUGACCUCAGAUCAGGUAGGAAUACGCGCUGAACUUAA